rnacentral:rRNA from 1 species
AUUGAACGCUGGCGGCAGGCCUAACACAUGCAAGUCGAACGAGUGGCGGACGGGUGAGUAAUGUCUGGGAAACUGCCUGAUGGAGGGGGAUAACUACUGGAAACGGUAGCUAAUACCGCAUACCAUCAGAUGUGCCCAGAUGGGAUUAGCUAGUUGGGGGGGUAACGGCUCACCAAGGCGACGAUCCCUAGCUGGUCUGAGAGGAUGACCAGGCACAGUGGGAAUGAGAGCCGGUCCAGACGCCUACGGGAGGCAGGAGUGGGGAAUAUGGCACAAUGGGGGGAAGGCUGAUGCAGGCAUGCCGCGUGUAUGAAGAAGGGCUUGGGGUUGUAAAGUACGUUGAGCGGGGAGGCGUUACCCGCAGAAGAAGCACCGGCUAACUCCGUGCCAGCAGCCGCGGUAAUAC